CUAAAAUGUUCGGGUUGUGCCAAAUAAUGCAUAGGUAAUUAUGUUGGUCAAACCACACCUUUAUAAAAUGUUUAAACACUCUAAAAGGAAUAAAAUAGCAGCAUUAAUAAUUAUAUAAAUGCUUUUAAAAUGACAAACAAUUUCAAAACUAUUUUAUUUCAGUGCUAAGUUGUUUGUGGCUGUGGUAUAAAUUGUAACAUCUAUUUUGGGUGCCACUUUAGUAUUUUUACAAAAACUAAAAAUAAAAGAGAACAAAAAAGAAAGAAACAACAGGAAAAUACAAUACAAAAAAAAGAGAGAAAGGCCUCCCUGGCCAACUGGGCCAGACGGCCCAACUGGCCGACCCACCUGAGUACAAUACCAGCCCACUCCCACUUAUCCCCUUCCCCUCGCUACAGGGACGAUGGAGGGGUGUGGCAGCCAUCCAUGGCGCCAGGGACAUGCGUGGCGGCCAUCCCCGACCUCCCCGACGCCUAUAAGCCACCCCCGCGUCACCGGCGCCCAACCCUAGUUUUGCUCGCCCCCAUCUCCCUCUGCCUCCCUCCUCAGAUCCCCCUCCUUCUUGAUCUCCGCCAUGGACGCGUCGUCGGCGUAGCCGUCGCCGAUGGCCUCCUCGCUGCCAGAGACAACGCCAGGGGCACCUUCUUCGUCGCCUACUUCGACUACAUGGGCGAGAUCGAGCCGGAAGCCACCGGGACACCCGCUGCUUCCCCGUCCUCAACCUCCAUCCGUCUCGGUCGCCGCCGCCGUUGCCAACACCGGCCACCUCUGCUGCUCCUAAGCCACUCAACGGGCCUCCUUGUGCCUGCUCGACCCCGAGACUGCCGGCGACCCCAGUUCGACUACGGUGUUGACGAUCCCUCCUUGCCAGAGCAACCAGGCAAGUCCCCCCCCCCCUUUGAUCACCAG